rnacentral:rRNA from 1 species
GAGGAAUAUUGGGCAAUGGACGCAAGUCUGACCCAGCCAUGCCGCGUGAAGGAAGACGGCCCUAUGGGUUGUAAACUUCUUUUAUAUAGGAAUAAUGGUCUCUACG